CUGUAAACCGGAAGAAACAUGAACUCACGCUUUUGUUCCGCGUUCGACGUUUAAAAGCAACUGGAAUGUCUGUUGCACCUACAGUACUGAAGAUUAACUGCAUAUUGUGACCAAGCCGAGGAUCUCCAGUCAAAUUAUGGUUGGAAAAAAGAAUUCCUACUGACCUCAGGGUCAAGAGGUGUCUGGAGCUAAUCUCUUUGGGGUGUCAGAAGAACAGAGAUGACCUGGCUGGAACCUGUUCACAGACAGAUGCAGAGGAGAACAUGCAGACCUGAUGCAUGUACCUACAUGUGUAUCUUCAGCCCAUAUGUGAAUAUCUGCUUAGUUAGUUAUCUUACUUGUGGUGGUUUGUGUACACUGGUCUUAGAAGACAUAAUGAAUGCUUAUCCCACCUGUAUAGGCUAGUCUUAAACAACAGGAAGGACAAUAGGAGGAGACAGGGUGUGGUACUGGAUGGCAAACAUUGGUCAGCUACUUCUGUCUUAAGUCCCUUCCACAGAAAUGAGCACACAAACCAUUAGAAGUAGACAGCAAGAGGGAACAUAAGAAUAACUGGGUAUCUAAAACUGAAUGUACUUUUGGCUUUAUAUUCUUAUUUCUUCUUAUCCUUGUCUAUUUGAGGUGACUGUAGCUCAGGAGGUCAACCAGAUCAUUUACUAAUCAGAAGGUUGGUGAUUCAAUCCCUGGCUGCUCCACUACGAAAGUAUCCUUGGGCAGAGUUGCUCUCCAGUGCGUUCAUCUGUGUGUGAAUGAUAGAAAGCGCUUGAGUGUAGAAAAAUCUGCUUGUGUGAACAAAGCAUGUUAUAUAAAGUCGUUUGAGUGCUCAAAUAGAGUAGAAAAGCGUUUCCAUUCCCAGUAAGGUUUUUUUCUUCAUAUUUUAUAUUUAUACGUGUUGGAAAACAUCCAGCCUUUGAAACUACUUUUAUUCUGACCUUUCUGUUUUAAUGAGUUUUUCACGAUGAAGGCUGACCAUUUGGACUUGGCACUAAAACUGAUCUCACACACAAGUGCAUGCCUGUAUUUGUGUGUGCAUACAGUUUGUGUGUGUGUGUGAGAGAGAGACACCUUAACCCUACA